rnacentral:rRNA from 4 species
AAAUUGAAGAGUUUGAUCAUGGCUCAGAUUGAACGCUGGCGGCAGGCCUAACACAUGCAAGUCGAACGGUAGCACAGAGAGCUUGCUCUCGGGUGACGAGUGGCGGACGGGUGAGUAAUGUCUGGGAAACUGCCUGAUGGAGGG